UACGUAGGGUGCAAGCGUUGUCCGGAUUUAUUGGGCGUAAAGAGCUCGUAGGCGGUCUGUCGCGUCGGAUGUGAAAACCCAGGGCUCAACCCUGGGCCUGCAUUCGAUACGGGCAGACUAGAGUACGGCAGGGGAGACUGGAAUUCCUGGUGUAGCGGUGAAAUGCGCAGAUAUCAGGAGGAACACCGGUGGCGAAGGCGGGUCUCUGGGCCGUAACUGACGCUGAGGAGCGACAGCGUGGGGAGCGAACAGG
rnacentral:rRNA from 1 species